rnacentral:tRNA from 1 species
GGCCACGUACUCCAAUUGGCAGAGGGGACAUGUUCAAACCUUGUAAAGUGUCGGUUCGAAUCCGACCGUGGCUACAA